rnacentral:rRNA from 1 species
AUUGAACGCUGGCGGCAGGCUUAACACAUGCAAGUCGAGCGGAGAGAGGUAGCUUGCUACUGAUCUUAGCGGCGGACGGGUGAGUAAUGCUUAGGAAUCUGCCUAUUAGUGGGGGACAACAUUUCGAAAGGAAUGCUAAUACCGCAUACGUCCUACGGGAGAAAGCAGGGGAUCUUCGGACCUUGCGCUAAUAGAUGAGCCUAAGUCGGAUUAGCUAGUGGGUGGGGUAAAGGCCUACCAAGGCGACGAUCUGUAGCGGGUCUGAGAGGAUGAUCCGCCACACUGGGAAUGAGACACGGCCCAGACUCCUACGGGAGUAAGCAGUGGGGAAUAUUGGACAAUGGGCGCAAGCCUGAUCCAGCCAUGCCGCGUGUGUGAAGAAGGCCUUAUGGUUGUAAAGCACUUUAAGCGAGGAGGAGGCUACUUUAGUUAAUACCUAGAGAUAGUGGACGUUACUCGCAGAAUAAGCACCGGCUAACUCUGUGCCAGCCGCCGCCGUAACAC